UCGUCCUCCUCCUCCUCCUCCUCUAAUAGGACUUCCAAUUUUUUUUACUUUCUACACACAAACACUUGUCAACAUAGAUAGAAAUAUUCCUUCCAAACAUAUUUAACCUCUUUAUCACUUUUUUCCAUUCUUUAACAAACACACCAAAGAAUAAAAGAGAAAUUCAAUUUCGUUCCUUUUCUUUUCUUUUACCUCUCCCAGUUUUUUUUCUUACCUCUUAAACCAAUGAAGUAAGCUUUCUAUUUCCCAACACAUUAGUACUACUUCCACAAGGUUCA
rnacentral:misc_RNA from 1 species